rnacentral:rRNA from 1 species
GACGUAGGGCGCGAGCGUUGUCCGGAUUUAUUGGGCGUAAAGAGCUCGUAGGCGGUUUGUCGCGUCUGCCGUGAAAAGUCCGGGGCUCAACCUCGGAUCUGCGGUGGGUACGGGCAGACUAGAGUGAUGUAGGGGAGACUGGAAUUCCUGGUGUAGCGGUGAAAUGCGCAGAUAUCAGGAGGAACACCGAUGGCGAAGGCAGGUCUCUGGGCAUUAACUGACGCUGAGGAGCGAAAGCAUGGGGAGCGAACAGG